rnacentral:sRNA from 1 species
GAUGUAUGUGACCGCCUCCUUGAGGUCGGACGGGUCCCCGAAAGGCUGCAGCCGGGGGCUGACCAGUGGGCAACCGUGGUGGCCGCGGCGAUGGAAGAUGACCGGGUAGUAGCCGCGCUCCAGGGCGAGCAAGCAAAGGCCGAGCACGUUGCGGGUGAGGCGACCCCACGCAUUGGGGAUCACCAGAAGCACCGCAGGAAGGCCCCCGGCGCUGGUGAUACGGCGGCCCCGAACACAAGGUCCCACCACCCAGUCCAGGGCCACUAGCCCAUCGUCCGCCAACUGCAGACCCUGGGCGCUGCGCCCUCAGAGGCCGAUGAAAAGAAGCAGAAGGGAGAGGUGAGUAAGUCGCAGCUCCGGGCGCCGGCUCCCGGGGCCCCGUGGGGCGGCGGCAGCGCGCGCGCUCUGCCCUCGGGCGG